rnacentral:rRNA from 1 species
UACGUAGGGGGCUAGCGUUGUCCGGAAUCAUUGGGCGUAAAGCGCGUGUAGGCGGCCCGGUAAGUCCGCUGUGAAAGUCGGGGGCUCAACCCUCGGAUGCCGGUGGAUACUGUCGGGCUAGAGUACGGAAGAGGCGAGUGGAAUUCCUGGUGUAGCGGUGAAAUGCGCAGAUAUCAGGAGGAACACCAAUUGCGAAGGCAGCUCGCUGGGACGUAACUGACGCUGAGACGCGAAAGCGUGGGGAGCAAACAGG